GACGUAGGGUGCAAGCGUUGUCCGGAUUUACUGGGCGUAAAGGGCGCGUAGGCGGUCUGUUAAGUGGGAAGUGAAAUCUCCAGGGCUCAACCCGGAAACUGCUUUCUAUACUGGCAGGCUGGAGGGAUGCAGAGGUGUGUGGAAUUCCUGGUGAAGCGGUGAAAUGCGUAGAUAUCAGGAGGAACACCCAUGGCGAAGGCAGCACACUGGGCAUCAUCUGACGCUGAGGCGCGAAAGCGUGGGUAGCAAACAGG
rnacentral:rRNA from 2 species